rnacentral:tRNA from 2 species
GCCGAAGUGGCGGAAUUGGCAGACGCGCACGACUCAAAAUCGUGAACUCCUUGCGGGUGUGUGGGUUCAAGUCCCACCUUCGGCACCA